GGGAAGGGUCUUUGAAGCUGUAAUUCUCAGCUUCCUGUUCAGCCAGCCAGCAUUCAGCAAACUUCUGUGACUCAGCAGGUAUUUCCGGAAUGGUGUGAGGGUGUGGACAUGCUGUACGUCUGGCCAGCCACAGGCGACAAUGGGAUUGUGCUGGCAGCAGCCCCAGGCUUGAGACGGGUCUGUGAUGUUAACAGAGAAACUGGCUGCCUUGUUCCCACACAGAUGACAGGGACUGGGGAUCAAAUGCAGAGCCUUAUCUCUGCAAGGUGGAUGCUCUACCACUGAGAUCCAUUCCUGGCCAAAGACAAAGGAGCCUCAUGGUUUUCAGAAGGAAGAUCUUUGGCGUAGAGAAGGAGGAUGGUUGCCCUGAAUCUCUGGCUGGAAUUUUCCCCAGAUGGCAUUAGGCAGAAAUCCUCUGCAUUGUGCAUGAAUUCUUGCCCUGAUUGAUGGAAUCAGAGGAACCAGAAGAAAUCUGCGGAAAGUCACAU